UACACUCCUGCGGGAGGCAGCAGUGGGGAAUUUUGGACAAUGGGCGAAAGCCUGAUCCAGCAAUGCCGCGUGAGUGAAGAAGGCCUUCGGGUUGUAAAGCUCUUUUGUCAGGGAAGAAACGGUGAAAGCUAAUAUCUUUUGCUAAUGACGGUACCUGAAGAAUAAGCACCGGCUAACUACGUGCCAGCAGCCGCGGUAAUACGUAGGGUGCAAGCGUUAAUCGGAAUUACUGGGCGUAAAGCGUGCGCAGGCGGUUUUGUAAGUCUGAUGUGAAAUCCCCGGGCUCAACCUGGGAAUUGCAUUGGAGACUGCAAGGCUAGAAUCUGGCAGAGGGGGGUAGAAUUCCACGUGUAGCAGUGAAAUGCGUAGAUAUGUGGAGGAACACCGAUGGCGAAGGCAGCCCCCUGGGUCAAGAUUGACGCUCAUGCACGAAAGCGUGGGGAGCAAACAGGAUUAGAAACCCUAGUAGUCCC
rnacentral:rRNA from 1 species